rnacentral:rRNA from 1 species
AUUGAACGCUGGCGGUAGGCCUAACACAUGCAAGUCGAACGGCAGCACAGUAAUAGCUUGCUCUUUCGGGGGGCGAGUGGCGGACGGUUGAUGAAUACCUCGGUAUCUACUUUUUCGUGGGUGAUAACGUAGGGAAACUUACGCUAUUACCGCAUACGACCUACGUGUGAAAGCAUGGGAUCUUCGGACCUUGCGCGAUUGAAUGAGGCGAUGUCUGAUUAGGUAGUUGGCGGGGUAAAGGCCCACCAAUGCGACGAUCCGUAGCUGGUCUGAGAGGAUGAUCAGGCAAAAUGGAACUGAGAAACGGUCCAGAAUCCUACGGGAGGGAGCAGUGGGGAAUAUUGGAAAAUGGGCGCAAGCCUGAUCCAGGCAUACCGCGUGGGUGAAGAAGGGCUUCCGGUUGUAAAGCCAUUUUGUUGGGAAAGAAAAGCAACAAGUUAAUAACCCGCUGUUCUGACGGUAACCAAAGGAUAAAAAACGGCUAAAUUCGUG